CGUCCUCUGCAAGGAAGAGCCCUCCGUCACAGCUCCAGCGGGCACGGGAUGCUCCGAAACAGGCUCUGCUCCUUCGGGAGGGAGGGGAGCAGGCAGGAGCGGCCAGUGGUCCCCAGGCCACCCCGCCCCCUCCGCGCCCUUGGACCGGCCCACAGUCACCAACCACACACCCAGGCAGACUUUCCGGCCCCCAAACCCCCGAGCGAAGCGCCUCGGAUGCUGCCUCCGGCCGCAGACACAGGUGACGUAAAACCAGGAGUAUCCCUCUUCCUCCUCAAAUCCCGUCGCCUCCGACCCCAUGGAAACCUCUGACCAGACACGGCCCUCAGACGUCUGCUCUUGAGAGGUCCAGUGCCCCUGCUUGGGGCCUCCAUUUCCUCCACUGAAGGAUGAAGCAGUGGGGUGAGAUCACUUCUAAGGGCCCAGGAGGAGAGGGUCGCCAUCUGAGCCCAGAGCUGGGUGAGCCUCCAGCAGCGGCCCACCGGGCCUGCCCUGUCCCUAGUUCUGUCCUGGGAGCAGCAGGAAGCUGUGGCUCCUUGGAAGUAAAAGAUGAAACAAAGCACAGCAGGAGCUGGCUCUCCGGGGAAGGCGGCCACCUCGCACUCCUAAAGGCUCCCCUCAUGAUCGCAGCCCUUCUGGAAAAUCGGCUCAUCUCCCACAGGCUCUGUUCUCUCCUCCCUCCCCCCACCACAGAACACCUCCCGUCACGGACUUAUUCUGUUUAAAAGAAUCCCAAAACGCACCAAAUUGCACCCGAUCCUGUGCCCGCUCCACAUGCCUUGGUUUCUGCCUCCACCACCCUGCAAGAAUUUCUCUUCCCCAGGCCUCACUGCCCUAUUCAAGGCCAACAAAAACUAGGUGCAGAAAAAAAUCAGUCAGUCAAACCCCAAAAUGCAGGACACGGAGAAAGGAGAACCUCAGGAUCUAGGUCCAACCCCUGGCUCAGCACAGGAAUCCUGUCUGUCAUAACCCUGCCCCAGCCUCUGCUUGAAUGCCCCCAUCGACGGGGAGCUCAUCCCCCCCGAUUGCUGGACAAUUCCUUCCAUUACUGGGCAGCUCUAACAGAAAGUCACAUCUACUUCCCUGUGACUUCUACAGACACGUUCUGUCCCCUUGAGUCAGAGUGAAUGAAACCUCUCUUCUCCACAUUACCUCUCAGAAAAGAGACAGCCCAUGGGUCCCCCAUCUUCUCUUCUCCAGAAGCCUCUUAAACUACCUGCAUAACUAGGUUCCUGCAAUACUAAGAAAACAGAACCGCAUUUGAAUUAGAAUGAGGCCACGGCCACAGUUACUCUGGCUACAAUGCCAAUGAAAAUGUGUUUUAUUUUGCUUUAAUAUUUCUAAAAAUAAUACUUUGACUAUUUUAAUAUCAGUCUUCUUGAAAAGCAGUGUGAUACUACUCCCCUUCCUGGCUUGAUAAAAAAGUUGCAUAGUUCACAAUUUUAUACCUAUUACAUAAACAAAGAUUGAAAAUAGUGGUGCUACCCAGUAGGGGACCCUGAACUCUCGUAUGGCUGGUGGCAAUCUAAAUUAACACCAGCCUCUCAGGAAACAACCUGUCAGCCUGUUGUUUCCAGAGCCAUAAAAACAUUCAUACCCUUUGACCCAAUAAUCCCAGUCCUGGGAGUUUAUCCUAAGAAACUAGUUUUUAAAAAAGGAAGGAAGGGGGGAAGGUUACAUGCAUUAAGAUAUUCAUUCAAGUGCUACUGAAUAGGCAGGAGAAGGAGACUCAUGAAAGUCUGAUUUCAUCCAGCGUACCAUGCAACCGUAAUCAGUGAAAGCUCUGAAGACUAGUCUGCAACUUGAGAAACUCCUUAAGAUAAGAUGGUGGAGACUGCACCCACUGUGUCCUGUGGCAUGUCCUCGGGAACAGAGGGCAGGACAGCCGUGCCACGCUCUGCGUCCUCUAGCCAUCUGUUCGGAUGCUACAGGCAGGGGUCUGCAGAGGGACAGCACACGGCGUGCGCAUGCAGGACCCAUGCAAGAGGAUGGGAAGAGGGCGGCAGCCACCAUUGGGGCGUGCACCCCGCCUCAGAGAGGGCCAGGCAGCAGACACGGGAUCACCGGCAUUCCCGCUCUGGGACAAGCAGUACCCAAGGUGAUCGUGGCGUAAACUACUCCAUCAGGCACGUGCACCCAUCUGGGGACUCCACUGGGGGGAUAUCUGCCAGAAUGAUCUGUGUGGUAUCCAGAAGAACAGACAAAGGCAAGAGGAAGAGAGAUAAGAUGAAGAGAGCGGCAGACCCAAAUGCACAGGCACGAAGAGAUGUGGCGACGCGGCUGCCCUCCCACCAGAAGUUAGUGCGUUCCCAUCGGAGAUGUGGGCUUGUCAGGUGUACCCCAGCCUGGCCAAGGACAUCAUUUCCCAGCCCCUUCCUAUCCAGAGAUGUGACUUCCUGCCACCCAUGGAAUGUGGGUAGAAGCACUGGGUGUCACUCUGGCUGGUGCCUUUAAGGAGCACAUAGAGGUUCUCCACCCUUUCUUUGUGGUGGAUUCUGUGGCCUCAGAAGGUGACCGAGCCCACGCUGGACGGGGCCUGCUGACCGGUAACGCCCAGCUGAACUAUUCCGUGUGGGGGACAGCAGGCAGGAACCAAGGGCAGGCCGGCUUAUGAUGCAGGGGAAGCCCCCUCUUCGUGGUAAGUAUGACCAGCUCCCCACAAGUCAUCCUCUGUCCUCGGGCUGGCAGGAGACAAAAGGCAACUGGGCUUCUCCCCACCCUCCUUGCUGACCUUGUGCUGACCCCCCGGGUUCUGGAUAAAACCAAUAUGAACUCCCAGUCGAGAGACCAACACCAGGAUCCUUCUGACUGCUUGUUUGUGUCGAGAUGAAGUGUCUGCCACACCAACAGGCCCCCGGGAGCGUCUGGGAGGCAGGCCCCGGCUGGCACGGGCCACACCCCAGAGAGACAGGCUUCAGACACAUGGAGGUGCUCCCAGGGGUGAGUCACUGCUCCCACCUUCCAGACGCACCCAGACAGCCCCACCGCGCUCUCAGCUCCAGUGUGAAAUCACGGUCCGGCCGGUGACUUGGCAACACCUCACAAGCUAAGUGACGUCUGUCCACAAAGCCAGCCUCUUAGAAUAAAAUUCCUUCGGGCCAAAGAAGCCCUCACCUCCCACACAGUUCCCGGGACCGCAGACAGUAGGUAAAGUGUGAAGAAAGAGGACAAGAAUCCCAUGUGGCUCCAAGUGACUGGUCCCAUCUCAUCCCAGGGCCAGUUCUUUGUGACACCAACAAGGUCCCCCUUCGGCCAAGUUCAUUCCCACCACCAGGGAUCCUUACCGCUGACAUUUGCAAGUUGCCUUUAUGCUUUCAAAGACCUUUCACUUACAAAGGAAGGAAAGAGAAGCAGGGAAGAAAGGGAGAGUGGGGGGACCAGAGUCCAGCGAGCUGGGAGAAUGGGGUCACAACCAUCUCUUUCUUCCAGAACCUUCAAGGCCUUUCUGUGUUAUAGAAUCCCCACAAAGAGAGCAUUUCUGAUCCAACCUCAUCAGGCUGAGAACCACUGGCUGAGGACAGAUGACUCCAGCGUGAGCCCUGCCCCCAUAGCAAAGGCCAUCUACCUAAGUUAGGUCAGCCACAAACAACCCUCCCCUCCAAAGGCUGGAGAAGAGUCUAUUCAGAGAAAAGCCAAAGUCUUACCAAGGCCUACAGCUGCUUUCUGUGUCCCCAUCUCCCAUCUGCCUCCCCCAACCCCACCUGCUCCUGCGACAAUGGCCUCCAAACAUGCCAAGGGCUCUCCUGCCUCAGGGCCUUUGCACGUACUGUGCUCUCUGUUUAGAAAGUUCUUCCUGCAGGUAUCAGCCCCACCCAGUUCCCACUUCAUUUGGGAAUCUGCUCAAGGUCAUGCUAUCAGAGAGGCCCUCCCUAAUCUAAAAUAAAAUCCCUCUCCUGCCCCAGCCCAGCCCCUGCAGCUUUCCAUCCUGACAAGUUAUCACCACCUGACACAUCCUGUGUUUAUUUGCUGUCUGUCUUCCCUCGCAGAAUCUAAGUGCCGUGAUCACUGAACCCCACUGAAUCCUGCGUGCUGCUGAGCUCCUGACUCCUAGAAACAUGCUGGGUACCUGGUGGGAGCCCAGUGA